CAGUCGCCACGGUAAUACGGAGGGUGCAAGCGUUAAUCGGAAUUACUGGGCGUAAAGCGCACGCAGGCGGUCUGACAAGUCAGAUGUGAAAUCCCCGGGCUUAACCUGGGAACUGCAUUUGAAACUGUCAGGCUGGAGUCUUGUAGAGGGGGGUGGAAUUCCAGGUGUAGCGGUGAAAUGCGUAGAGAUCUGGAGGAAUACCGGUGGCGAAGGCGGCCCCCUGGACAAAGACUGACGCUCAGGUGCGAAAGCGUGGGGAGCAAACAGGAUUAGAUACCCGUGUAGUUCCUGUCUCUUAUAC
rnacentral:rRNA from 1 species